rnacentral:misc_RNA from 1 species
GAACGCACAUUGCGCCCGCCAGCAUUCUGGCGGGCAUGCCUGUUCGAGCGUCAUUUCAACCCUCGCAGCCCAUCUGGGCAGCGGUGUUGGGGACCGGCACCACCGGCGAAGCCCUUAGGGGCCCAGCCGGCGCCGCCCCCGAAAUACAGUGGCGGUCUCGCUGCAGCCUCCCUUGCGUAGUAGCACACCUCGCCCCGGAGCGCAGCGCGGCCACGCCGUAAAACCCCCGACUUUCUGAGUUUGACCUCGAAUCAGGUAGGAAUACCCGCUGAACUUAAG